rnacentral:lncRNA from 1 species
GAGAAAAAUACAUUUCCUGAUUGGACCUGUUUUUCGGCACCAUGUAAGAAUUCCCUGUGUGGGAUAUCUGGAUGAUACUUGUGUGACAACUGGAGACUGGACAUGAUGGAUGACGUAGGAAACCUCUGGAGGGUACCUACAUUGUUGCCAUAAACCACUGUGCCCAUGUGGAAAACAUUACAGUCCUGGGGCAAAAGAUAAACUUCAUGCUUGAUAAAAAAACAACCAAAAGAGAACAGAACAUCAAAAUUCAUUCUGCUGGCUUAAGAUAUGUGCACAAAAUACCAGAGGCACAAUUAAUGUUGUGCAU